rnacentral:rRNA from 2 species
UGAUGUGAAAGCCCACGGCUCAACCGUGGAGGGUCAUUGGAAACUGGGAAACUUGAGUGCAGAAGAGGAGAGUGGAAUUCCAUGUGUAGCGGUGAAAUGCGCAGAGAUAUGGAGGAACACCAGUGGCGAAGGCGGCUCUCUGGUCUGUAACUGACGCUGAUGUGCGAAAGCGUGGGGAUCAAACAGGAUUAGAUACCCUGGUAGUCCACGCCGUAAACGAUGAGUGCUAAGUGUUAGGGGGUUUCCGCCCCUUAGUGCUGCAGCUAACGCAUUAAGCACUCCGCCUGGGGAGUACGACCGCAAGGUUGAAACUCAAAGGAAUUGACGGGGACCCGCACAAGCGGUGGAGCAUGUGGUUUAAUUUGAAGCAACGCGAAGAACCUUACCAAAUCUUGACAUCCUUUGACCGCUCUAGAGAUAGAGUCUUCCCCUUCGGGGGACAAAGUGACAGGUGGUGCAUGGUUGUCGUCAGCUCGUGUCGUGAGAUGUUGGGUUAAGUCCCGCAACGAGCGCAACCCUUAAGCUUAGUUGCCAUCAUUAAGUUGGGCACUCUAGGUUGACUGCCGGUGACAAACCGGAGGAAGGUGGGGAUGACGUCAAAUCAUCAUGCCCCUUAUGAUUUGGGCUACACACGUGCUACAAUGGAUAAUACAAAGGGCAGCGAAUCCGCGAGGCCAAGCAAAUCCCAUAAAAUUAUUCUCAGUUCGGAUUGUAGUCUGCAACUCGACUACAUGAAGCUGGAAUCGCUAGUAAUCGUAGAUCAGCAUGCUACGGUGAAUACGUUCCCGGGUCUUGUACACACCGCCC